rnacentral:rRNA from 1 species
UCCGUAGGUGAACCUGCGGAAGGAUCAUCUACUGUGAUUCUAGUACUACACUGCGUGAGCGGAACGAAAACAACAACACCUAAAAUGUGGAAUAUAGCAUAUAGUCGACAAGAGAAAUCUACGAAAUACAAACAAAACUUUCAACAACGGAUCUCUUGGUUCUCGCAUCGAUGAAGAGCGCAGCGAAAUGCGAUACCUAGUGUGAAUUGCAGCCAUCGUCAAUCAUCGAGUUCUUGUUCGCACAUUGCGCCUCGGCCCAUUCCGGGGGGCAUGCCUGUUUGAGCGUCGUUUCCAUCUUGCGCGUGCGCAGAGUUGGCCGAGCGGAGCGGACGACGUGUAAAGAGCGUCGGAGCUGCGAGUCGCCUGAAAGGGAGCGAAGCUGGCCGAGCGAACUAGACUUUUUUUCAGGGACGCUUGGCGGCCGAGAGCGAGUGUUGCGAGACAACAAAAAGCUCGACCUCAAUCAGU